rnacentral:rRNA from 1 species
AGCAGCCGCGGUAAUUCCAGCUCCAAUAGCGUAUAUUAAAGUUGUUGCAGUUAAAAAGCUCGUAGUUGAAUUUCGGGAUCAAUAUGUCGGUCGUGCCAUUGGUACGUACUGGUAUCAUUGAUUUCUCCUUUCUGACGAACCAUGAUGUCGUUAAUUUGGUGUUAUGGGGAGUUAGGACUGUUACUUUGAAAAAAUUAGAGUGUUUAAAGCAGGCAUUAGCUUGAAUACAUUAGCAUGGAAUAAUGAAAUAGGACGUUUGACCCUAUUUUGUUGGUUUCUAGGAUCGACGUAAUGAUUAAUAGGGAUAGUUGGGGGCAUUAGUAUUCAAUUGUCAGAGGUGAAAUUCUUGGAUUUAUUGAAGACUAACUACUGCGAAAGCAUUUGCCAAGGAUGUUUUCAUUAAUCAAGAACGAAAGUUAGGGGAUCGAAGACGAUCAGAUACCGUCGUAGUCUUAACCAUAAACUAUGCCGACUAGGGAUCGGAUGAUGUUAAUUUUUAAUGACUCAUUCGGCGCCUUAA